ensembl:snRNA U2 U2 spliceosomal RNA
AUCACUUCUCGGCCUUUUGGCUAAGAUCAAGUGUAGAAAUAAGCAAGGAACUAUAUCAUAUCUUUUCUUAUUAAUGUCACUUCCCUGUAUAGCCAAUCACGUUUGUUAGAAAUCAUAACAUAAAGGAAAGAGAAAGAUCAAGUAAUCCAUAGUUAACUUGCCUUCCUUACCUAUA